rfam:Burkholderia multivorans ATCC 17616 DNA, complete genome, chromosome 1.
UUGCUAACGCGGGGGUCCUGCAAUGCUCCCGGUCGAACCGGCCGGCAUUGUGGGUGAGAAAUACCCUUUGAACCUGAUCUGGAUAAUGCCAGCGCAGGGAAGCGUACGGGCUUCGCCG